rnacentral:rRNA from 1 species
GACGAACGCUGGCGGCGUGCUUAACACAUGCAAGUCGAACGGAAAGGCCCUGCUUUUGUGGGGUGCUCGAGUGGCGAACGGGUGAGUAACACGUGAGUAACCUGCCCUUGACUUUGGGAUAACUUCAGGAAACUGGGGCUAAUACCGGAUAGGAGCUCCUGCUGCAUGGUGGGGGUUGGAAAGUUUCGGCGGUUGGGGAUGGACUCGCGGCUUAUCAGCUUGUUGGUGGGGUAGUGGCUUACCCAGGCUUUGACGGGUAGCCGGCCUGUGAGGGUGGCCGGCCACAUUGGGACUGAGAGACGGCCCAGACUCCUACGGGAGGCAGCAGUGGGGAAUAUUGCACAAUGGGCGGAAGCCUGAUGCAGCAACGCCGCGGUCGGGAUGACGGCCUUCGGGUUGUAAACCGCUUUCGCCUGUGACGAAGCGUGAGUGACGGUAAUGGGUAAAGAAGCACCGGCUAACUACGUG